rnacentral:ncRNA from 1 species
CAACCCCAUCUCAAGCGAGAACACCCGCUGAGUUUAAGCAUAUAAUUAAGUGGAGGAAAAGAAAAUUACAAGGAUUCCCCUAGUAAUGGCGAGUGAACUGGGAAGAGCCCAGCAUGAAAAUCGGGUGGCAGUGUCGCUUGAAUUGUAGUUUGUAGAAGCGUCAUUAGCGGUGGACCAGGCCCAAGUCCCCUAGAAUGGGGCGCCUGAGAGGGUGAUAGCCCCGUCGGGUCGGGACCCUGUCACACCACGAGGCAUUGUCGACAAGUCAGGUUGUUUGGGAAUGUAGCCCUAAUCGGUGGUAAAUUUCGUCGAAGGCUAAAUAAGGGCGAGAGACUGGUAGCAAACAAGUACCGCGAGGGAAAGAUGAAAAGGAAUUUGAAAAGAGAGUUAAAGAGUGCUUUAAAUUUCCGGGAGGGAAGCGGAUGGAGGUCGAUGAUGCAUCUCGGUUGGAUGCGGAACGACUCAAGCUGGUCCACCGCAACACUCGAGGUGUGAACUAGCGCAGGAUGUUGCAUCAACACAAGUGCGGGUGGAUUACUUCCUAUUGGUUUUCCAUUGUGGCGGUCGAGGAAUGAAGCGUGCACCCUUGGAGUGGGCCACUAUGCACCUGCAUGCUUGUGGUGUUGGUUGGCGGGCUUUCCAUUUGACCCAUCUUGAAACAUGGACCAAGGAGUCUAACAUGUGUGUGAGUCGGUGGGUUUGUAAACCUGUGAGGCAUAAGGAAGCUGACGGGUGAGAACCCCUCUCCAUGGGGUGUAUUUCCGACCAACCUUGAGCUUGUGCAAAGGGUUCGAGUGUGAGCACACCUGUUGGGACCCGAAAUAUGGUGAACUAUGCCUGAGCAAGGCGAAGCCAGAGGAAACUCUGGUGGAGGCCCAUAGCGAUACUGACGUGCAAAUCAUUCGUCUGACUUGGGUAUAGGGGUGAAAGACUAAUCGAAUCAUCUAGUAGUUGGUUUCCUCUGAAGUUUCCCUCAGGAUAGUUGGAGCUCACGUGUAAGUUUUAUUGGGUAAAGAAAAUGAUUAGAGGCAUUAGGGGCAUAAUGCCCUCGACCUAUUCUCAAACUUUAAAUAGGUAAGAUGGUGCGGCUGCUCCAUUGAGUCGUGCCACGGAAUCGAGAGCUCCAAGUGGGCCAUUUUUGGUAAGAAGAACUGGCGAUGCGGGAUGAACCAAAAGUUGAGUUACGGUGCCAAACUGCGCACUAACCCAGAUCCCACAAAGGGUGUUGGUUGAUUAAGACAGCAGGACGGUGGUCAUGGAAGUCAAAAUCCGCUAAGGAGUGUGUAACAACUCACUUGCCGAAUCAACUAGCCCCAAAAAUGGAUGGCGCUGAAGCGUGCGACCUAUACUCGACCGUCGGAGAAAUUUCUAGGCUUCGAUGAGUAGGAGGACGCGGGGGUCGUUGAGAAACCUUGGGCGUGAGCCUGGGUGGACCGGUCCCUGGUGCAGAUAUUCGUGGUAGUAGAAAAUAUUCAAAUGAGAACUUUGAAGACUGAAGUGGGGAAAGCUUCCAUGUGAACAACACUUGGACAUGGGUUAGUUGAUCCUAAGAGAUGGGGAAGCCUUGUAUCAAGGGUGCACUCUGCAUGAACAUCGAAAGGGAGUUGGGUUAAUAUUCCUGAACCAGGACAUGGCGGCGGACAAAAACAUUAGGAAAUAUGAAGACAUCAUCGGGGGCCCUGAGAAGAUUUAUCUUUUCUUUUUAACAG